rnacentral:rRNA from 1 species
GACGAACGCUGGCGGCGUGCUUAACACAUGCAAGUCGAACGGUAAGGCCCUUCGGGGUACACGAGUGGCGAACGGGUGAGUAACACGUGGGUGAUCUGCCCUGCACUUCGGGAUAAGCCUGGGAAACUGGGUCUAAUACCGGAUAGGACCACUGCCUGCAUGGGCGGUGGUGGAAAGCUUUUGCGGUGUGGGAUGGGCCCGCGGCCUAUCGGCUCGUUUGUGGGGUGAUGGCCUACCAAGGCGACGACGGGUAGCCGGCCUGAGCAGGUGAACGGCCACGCUGGGACUGAGAUACGGCACAGGCUCCUACGGGAGGGAGGAGUGGGGAGUAUUGCAGAAUGGGCGCAAGCCUGAUGCAGCGACGCCGCGAGAGGGAUGACGGCCUUCGGGUUGUGAACCUCUUUCAGAACCGACGAAGCGCAAGUGACGGUAGGUGCAGAAGAAGGACCGGCCAACUACGUGCCAGCAGCCGCCGUAA